CCCCCCCCUGUAACAGUCGGCACUCCAUAGUUUUGGGGCGCUAGCGCUUCAUAAAAACAAACCAAGCAUGCACAUAAAUGUUCGAUGAUUUACGAACAAUGCUCGCCAAGGAAGCCAUCAAACCUUGAGCUUUUCAUCAGUUUAACGAUAUGGGAACAGUAUAAGGCUGUAACUGUAACAAGAUGUGCAUCAAGUUGAAAGUAAAUCGGUCUGUCUUUGAUGUCAGCACUCAGCAGGCACAGUGUUCUUACGGCUUUUGACAAGAAUAAACGUCUACAAGAAGCAUAGACUAUACAAGCCA